UCUAUUAGAUAUAAACUCUUGGUUAGCUAUAAUACACAAUCUAAUUGAAUAGGACUGUGUCUAAUCAACUGGGAAGAAUCGAAAACGAACGAUACUAAGUACCAUCAAGGGCGUAUAAAGAGAAGAGGGCAUGCAACAGCUUGCGAGCAACAACUGUUGGUCUCUGAUCCUAUUCUUUGUGGAGUGAAUGGGACAUAACCAAAAGCAUCCAGUCCACUGUCUACGCUCUAAUGGAAUCCUGCAUUCUGAUUGGACGGCUUCAGGUUCAAUACUCGUUGUUGCCAUGACGAAUUUGACCCUGAGUUGAAAUGGAUGUCGUGGUAACUGCUGUAGCAAUAGUGUUAAUGGGAGGGUGACAGUUAUGGAGGGUUUUGAUUGGUUGGUUGGUUUCUUAGCAACAGGACGAGCAUUUUUUGGAGAAGGGAGAGUAUUUGGCGGACAAGGGGAAC